GGUUUGGUAGUUCAGUUGGUUAGAAUGCCUGCCUGUCACGCAGGAGGUCGCGGGUUCGAGUCCCGUCCAGACCGC
rnacentral:tRNA from 2 species